CUUUAAUGGAGAGUUUGAUCCUGGCUCAGGACGAACGCUGGCGGCAUGCCUAAUACAUGCAAGUCGAGCGGAGCUGACGAGAAGCUUGCUUCUCUGAUACUUAGCGGCGGACGGGUGAGUAACACGUAGGCAACCUGCCUUUCAGACUGGGAUAACUUCCGGAAACGGAUGCUAAUACCGGAUACAUCGAUUCUUCGCAUGAAGAGACGAGGAAAGACGGCGCAAGCUGUCACUGAGAGAUGGGACGGCGGCGCACUAGACAGCUGGGGGGGUAAUGAAACAACAAGGCGACUAUGAGUA
rnacentral:rRNA from 1 species